UGAGUCGUGUGUCCCGGACACGACGUGCCCGGCCGGAUCAUCCUCUCGUGCGAAAUACGGAAGUGAUCGCUCUCUUGCGCCGCGAAAUUAUACUCUCCCUAAAAAGUCCGAGACUCCCUAAAAAGGCGAAGAGACGAUUUGUGCGAGUAGAAUGUAUUCGCUUCGAGAAAUGAAUCGCGUUUAAAUCGCAAAGUCGUUCAUCAACGACAAUAUAAGUCGAAAUCGUGCGAUAUGACAAUAUAAUGCGAUGCAGUGAUGAUGUGACAUCGUAAUGACAGAUACUUAACUGGAAGUGAAGACAAAUUGCACUAAGAUGAGAGCAAGGGAACUCAAGCGGAACAAUUUGUGUACCUGAAUAAUAACAAAAAGCUUCGUCGUGUAAGUCGUAGAGUUGCCUCAUAUCUUAUUCUCAGUUGGACAGUCUUAUAGUUCCGACGUGUUUUACAUUUAAAAAUUUCCGGCUUUAAGAUUAAAAAUUAAAAGUUCCAUCGUGGAUGUAUCGUGUGAUGUGUAAAACGUGAUGACAAACAUAAAUUUAAACGUUAAAAGUUGAUUCUGUUUAGUUUACCGUCCUCUCUGAUUAUACUUCCAUGUUAUUCUACUUUAUUUUCCAUCUUUGUGAAAAUGUGACAAUCUUAGUAAGAUGCGAAAUGGUGCUACGAUAACGAGCAAAUAUUGACAGUCUAUCUUUUCGAUCAUGUUCAAUAAUCAUUCGAUAAUGUCGGAAGGAAUAAUAGACGACGUUAACUACGUUAACGACGGAAUAACUAACGACACCAAUGCGACAGAUUUUCCCGAUUAUGACAUCAACGAUUCCUACAGCCACUUCGAAUGGGGAGAAUUGGCACCUGUGCUAGUGGUCUAUAGCUUGACUUUCAUCCUCGGAUUAGUCGGAAAUGUCAUUAUCAUCACUUCCACCCUUUGUCCACGACUCAGACCAUUGCCGGCGACGCCGACCAACGUUUUCCUGGGAGGUCUGGCCUCGGCUGAUCUUUUAUUAAUUAUAUUCUGCAUACCCGUGAAGAUAGCGAAAUUGUUUUCCUAUACGUGGACCAUGGGCAUCUUCCUAUGCAAAGUUGUGCAUUACAUGCAGAGUGUAUCGGCUAUCUGCUCGGUUGUCACCCUCACCGCGAUGUCGGUCGAAAGAUAUUACGCAAUAGUGCAUCCAAUGAGGGCGCAGUACACGUGUACCAUAAGUCAAGCUCGCAAGAUUGUGAUUAUAACUUGGAUUGCAUCGUUUCUACUGGGAAUUCCAAUGAUUUUUACACAGACGCAUAAAAAAGUCGGAGUGAGAUUAAUCGCCUAUUGGUGCGUUCGUGAUUCCGAAGCCGGACUUUUGUGGCGGUUUCAUGAGGUUUAUAUGUUGGUAGUAGUCCUCAUACUGCCGCUGACCAUCAUGGCAUUUUGCUACGCGACCAUCUGCUGGGAGAUCUGGCGCGUUAUGAAGCGGCGGUACCAUAUGACGUCGCGACACGCAUUGAGUCCAAACAGCGUGGAUACAGAAUCUAUACCAAUGACGCAACGACAGAGUGGAAGCGAGCGUAAACCGCGUCGAGAGGAGAAUGACGAUGAAUCACGGACCAUGAAGCAGGUAGUGAAGAUGUUAGUGGCUGUUGUGGUGUUAUUUGCGAUUUGCUGGGCCCCGAUGCUCAUCGAUAACGUGCUGACUGCUUACGGUAUCUUGCCACGUAUCAAGGGUGGGACGCACAAGCAUCUCAACACCGUGUUCCAAUUGAUGGCCUACUUUAACAGCUGUAUAAAUCCGAUAGUUUACGGAUUUAUGUCCAAGCACUUCAGGGAGAGCUUCCUGUCAGCUGCCUGCGGUGGAUGGAUUUGCUGCCCUAGAAGAGGCUACCGGUCAUCCGUAACGAGGCAUCCCAGUCUCAGCCAGACCAGAAGCACCAGCGUGAGGUGGAUUCGAAACUCCUUCCGCGGGUCGAGGUCCCGAAACUCGACCAAUCCGCAUCUUGUAGUCCAUCCGUGAUGUUGUUUUGCGACACCUUGGUCAGCGAACGAACCUGGACACUGUUAGAAAGCUCGUGCAUGCGCCACGAAUGUCCGCUUGUCAACCACGCUUGUCCACGAAUAUCGUAAACGAAGGAAACAUGAUUUGAUCGAGAUGGACCUGAUUCUUUCUUCAUUCCCGGACUAGAUCGUCGAGGGAGGUCCGUCAGAUAAGGGAGGAUUUUCGACAGUGAGACUUGAAUAAAGUCAAGAAAGAGGCGCGAUUAUAAGUUUUACGAAGGUGGGACACGACCUUUCGACUGUCUACGUCUGUUUCGAGAAGCGAGGAGUGACAGGAGCGACUAAACUUUCGUGAAUCGAUAGUGAUUCCAAUGCGAGUGUGAAACUAUCUGCUAAGGCGGUGUCGUAGAUAAUGUAAGUUCCCGAACGGGUUCAUAGUCGAUUUAUCACCCUCGUGUCACCUUUAUAGCGGCAGCAUUAUCCCUUGCUCGCCUCGUGGGCGAAAUAAUUGGACAGUUGAUUAAUUGUAUAUUCGGACAAUUGGACGUUUAAUGUACAGUUAUAAAACUGAGUGGGUGGAUAAGGGUCAGAAAGUGGGCUUCAGGCGUGGGCAUCCAAGGUGGUCGCAUAGUAGAGUAAUCGAGCAUAAAUAGCAUAAAGUCCGGAUUUAGAAAUCUUGCAAAGAUAUCUCGUGCAAGAAGUAUAAAGAUACUGAUUAAAUUACGCAGUACGCUGCAGGGUCAUUAGAGAACAAAUUAGAUAUUUAUCUCAAAAGUUCUCUGGAAUAUAUGUCGAGCACUAUGUUGCAAAUGUUGAUAACUUUUAAUUUGCGUAGAAUCGUACGAGGAUUCGAUAAGAAUAAGAUAUUCUCGUCAUUUAUCUCACUAGUCUGACUUUUAUGAUUUUGCUUUUCAUAUAAAGCACCCUACCUCAGCUAAACUUGAAGCUGUUAAAGAGAGUGCAUGUUUUGUUGCGAAUGUGUCGGUUUAAUUUUCGCUCGAUAUUUAGUCUGUAAAUAUCAUUCGUGUGUUUUAUUUAAAAAAAAAAAGAGAUAAUUUAAUAUAUUUAUUUCGAUCUCGCUUACAUUUGUCAUUGUAGAGAGUGCAGCGUGACCCAUUACAAAUGUUGAGAAAGAAACUGUUUCGACAGUUGUUUCACAAAUACUCGAUACGUUCCAGGAGGUAUAUUAAAUGCGAUAUAUUACAGACGUGACAAAUAAUGCACUAUUUAGGAAACAUUUGCCAAAUGUUUGCGACGCAUGUUCGACAAUGGUCGAUAAACAUUUCUCGCACAAGUUUCUGCAACGUGCAACGAGAGAUGGUGGCAAGUAUUGAUUUAACAUUUUCAUUUGUGUAUAAAUGUAAUCAUUUCUCGAAGUGCCAUAUAUUUCGAAGUCAGGACAAUGACAUAAUUCAUUAUGAAUAUUCAUAGCAUAUUCUCGAAAUAUUAAGCCAUAUAAGUUUACACGAGAAUAUAAUGUCAGAGAAAUAAUAUAAUUAUAUUGUAUCUAGAUUAAUUAGUUUAUUCCAGUGUGUCCAUGUUAAAAAGGUCGAUAGUGAAUUUUGUAUGAGUAAUCUUGGCUUGUUACUCAGGAUCAUAAUGCAUUUUCUUUUUUUUCGUGGCUUUUUGGAUCUUAAUCUCAAGUAUUUCC